rnacentral:tRNA from 1 species
GUUGUAGCUCAAUGGAAGAGCAUCCCGUGGAAACGGGGAGGUCAUGAGUUCAAUUCUCAUCAACA